rnacentral:rRNA from 1 species
GCUUUUCAGUAGUUUACUACAGAAAAUGACUGAGCGGCCCCUUAAUGAGUAACGCGUGAGCAACCUACCUUAGUUACUGGGAUAGUUCCGAGGAAACUCGGAUUAAUACCGGAUAUUCUUAUUUAAUCACAUGAUUUUUUAAGGAAAGGUCAGCCGAACUAAGAUGGGCUCGCGUUCUAUCAGCUAGUUGGUAGGGUAACGGCCUACCAAGGCUACGACGGAUAGCUGGUCUGUGAGGACGAUCAGCCACACUGGGACUGAGACACGGCCCAGACUCCUACGGGAGGCUGCAGCAGGGAAUAUUGUGCAAUGAACGAAAGUUUGACACAGCGACACCGCGUGUGGGAUGACGGAUCUAGGUUUGUAAACCACUUUCAGGAGGGAAGAAAAUGACGGUACCUCCACAAGAAGCCCCGGCCAACUACGUGCCAGCAGCCGCGGUAAUACGUAGGGGGCAAGCGUUGUCCGGAUUUAUUGGGCGUAAAGAGCUCGUAGGCGGUUCAACAAGUCGGUCGUGAAAGUUCAGGGCUCAACCCUGAAAUGUCGAUCGAUACUGUUGUGACUAGGAUACGGCAGAGGUGAGUGGAAUUCCGAGUGUAGCGGUGAAAUGCGUAGAUAUUCGGAGGAACACCAAUUGCGAAGGCAGCUCACUGGGCCGCUAUCGACGCUGAGGAGCGAAAGCUAGGGGAGCAAACAGGAUUAGAUACCCUGGUAGUCCUAGCUGUAAACGAUGGAUACUAGAUGUAGGAAUUGGUUUAACGAUUUCUGUAUCGUAGCUAACGCGUUAAGUAUCCCGCCUGGGGAGUACGGUCGCAAGACUAAAACUCAAAGGAAUUGACGGGACCCCGCACAAGCGGCGGAGCAUGCGGCUUAAUUCGAUGAUACCCGUAGAACCUUACCUGGACUUGACAUAUAGGGAAAAGUUAUAGAAAUAUAAUGUGCAUUAGCGCCCUAUACAGGUGGUGCAUGGCUGUCGUCAGCUCGUGUCGUGA